rnacentral:rRNA from 1 species
UACGUAGGGUGCGAGCGUUGUCCGGAAUUACUGGGCGUAAAGAGUUCGUAGGCGGUUUGUCGCGUCGUUCGUGAAAACUUGGGGCUUAACUCCAAGCGUGCGGGCGAUACGGGCAGACUUGAGUACUACAGGGGAGACUGGAAUUCCCGGUGUAGCGGUGAAAUGCGCAGAGAUCGGGAGGAACACCCGUAGCGAAGGCGGCACUCUGGGCCGGUACUGACGCUGAGGAGCGAAAGCGUGGGGAGCAAACAGG